rnacentral:tRNA from 1 species
AAGAUAUUAGUAAUAAUUAUUACAUAACUUUGCCAUAGUUAAAUAUAGGUUUAAUCCUAUAUAUCUUAUA